rnacentral:rRNA from 1 species
UGAGGAACAUGACCUUCGGCGGGGGAUAGCCGGCCCAACGGCCGGGUAAUACCGCGUACGACCACAUGGGGACAUCCCUGAGUGGUGAAAGCAGCAAUGCGCCGAUGGAAUGCCUCGCGGCCUAUCAGCUAGUUGGUGAGGUAACGGCUCACCAAGGCGACGACGGGUAGCUGGUCUGAGAGGAUGGCCAGCCACAUUGGAACUGAGACACGGCCCAGACCUCUACCGGGGAGG